rnacentral:tRNA from 1 species
GGGUGUAGCCCAGUGGUAGAGCGCGUGCUUAGCAUGCACGAGGUCCUGGGUCCAAUCCCCAGUAUAGCCG